rnacentral:misc_RNA from 1 species
AUGGGUUGGCAAGGGAAAGACCCAUCUACCGAUUUCAGGGGAGGUGGCUUCAUUUCAUUGGAGAACUUGUUAUUCUUUGGCAAGAAUUAUCCUAAAUCAUUCCAAGAUCUUCUCAGAAAGCAGGAGGGAAAUCGUGCCAUGUGGGAAUAUCCAUUUGCAGUAGCUGGUGUAAACAUCACCUUUAUGUUGAUACAAAUGUUUGAUCUGCAAGCAGUCAAGCCACGCACGAUGAUGGGGGCAAUAUUUUUAAAGCUACUCUUAGAAAAUGAACGUGCUUUCGACAUUCUAUACUGUAUAACUUUUAAACUGCUGGAUCAGCAGUGGCUGGAAAUGCAUGCUUCAUAUAUGGACUUCAAUGCAGUGAUGAAAUCUACACGGCGUCAGCUAGAAAGAGAGCUUCUUCUAGAAGACAUCCA